GGUCGAGCGGAUNAAGUGAGCUUGCUCAUGGAUUCAGCGGCGGACGGGUGAGUAAUGCCUAGGAAUCUGCCUGGUAGUGGGGGAUAACGUUUCGAAAGGAGCGCUAAUACCGCAUACGUCCUACGGGAGAAAGCAGGGGACCUUCGGGCCUUGCGCUAUCAGAUGAGCCUAGGUCGGAUUAGCUAGUUGGUGAGGUAAUGGCUCACCAAGGCUACGAUCCGUAACUGGUCUGAGAGGAUGAUCAGUCACACUGGAACUGAGACACGGUCCAGACUCCUACGGGAGGCAGCAGUGGGGAAUAUUGGACAAUGGGCGAAAGCCUGAUCCAGCCAUGCCGCGUGUGUGAAGAAGGUCUUCGGAUUGUAAAGCACUUUAAGUUGG
rnacentral:rRNA from 1 species